rnacentral:rRNA from 1 species
GACGAACGCUGGCGGCGUGCUUAACACAUGCAAGUCGAACGGAAAGGCCCUGCUUUUGUGGGGUGCUCGAGUGGCGAACGGGUGAGUAACACGUGAGUAACCUGCCCUUGACUUUGGGAUAACUUCAGGAAACUGGGGCUAAUACCGGAUAGGAGCUCCUGCUGCAUGGUGGGGGUUGGAAAGUUUCGGCGGUUGGGGAUGGACUCGCGGCUUAUCAGCUUGUUGGUGGGGUAGUGGCUUACCAAGGCUUUGACGGGUAGCCGGCCUGAGAGGGUGACCGGCCACAUUGGGACUGAGAUACGGCCCAGACUCCUACGGUAGGCAGCAGUGGGGAAUAUUGCACAAUGGGCGGAAGCCUGAUGCAGCAACGCCGCGUGCGGGAUGACGGACUUCGGGUUGUAAACCGCUUUCGCCUGUGACGAAGCGUGAAUGACGGUAAUGGGUAAAGAAGCACCGGCUAACUACGUG